rfam:Bacillus sp. FJAT-18017 genome.
GUAAAAAUUAAAUAUUAUUCUCGUAUAAUAUUGGGGAUAUGGCCCGAAAGUUUCUACCAAGCUGCCGUAAAUAGCUUGACUACGAGGUUGUGUAUAUUAUGU